GGUUCGAUUCUGGCUCAGAUUGAACGCUGGCGGGAUGUUUACACAUGCAAGUCGAACGGCAGCACGGACUUUCGGUCUGGUGAAGAGUGAUGAACGGGUGAGUAAUGUAUCGGAACGUGCCUAGUAUGGGGAUAACUACGCGAAAAAUAGCUAAUACCGCAUACGCUCCUCGGGGGAAAGCGGGGACCUUCGGGCCUCGCACGCAAUAGAGUGGCUUAUUAUCGGAUUAGCUAGUUGGUGGGUAACGGCUCACCAAGGCGACGAUCCGUAGCUGUCGGAGAGGACGACUUCUCACCAGCCACACUGGGACUGAGACACGGCCCAGACUCGCCACGGGAGGCAGCAGUGGGGAAUUUUGACAAUGGGGAAACCCUGAUCCAGCCAUCCGCGUGUGCGAUGAAGGCCUUCGGGUUGUGGUAAGCACUUUUUGGCAGGAAGAAACGGCACGGAUGGCACCGCAAUCGACGGUACCUGCAGAAUAAGCACCGGCUAACUACGUGCCAGCAGCCAGCGUACAUGUAGGUGUUGUUAAUCGGAAUUACUGGGCGCAAGCGCGCAGGCGGUUCGAAAGAGACGUGAAAUCCCAGAGCUUAUCCGGAACUGCAUUUCUUUAACUACCGAUGUUAGAGUGUGUCGAGGGAGGUGAAUUCGCGUGUAGCAGUGAAAUGCGUAGAUAUGCGGAGGAACACCGAUGGCGAAGGCAGCCUCCUGGGAUAACACUGACGCUCAUGCACGAAAGCGUGGGGAGCAACAGAUUAGAUAAUUCUGGUAGUCCACGCCCCAAACGAUGUCAACUAUUGUUAGCCUUCGCCUGCAGCGCAGCUAACGCGGGGUUGACCGCCUGGGGAGUACGGUCGCAAGAUUAAAAAACCAAAGGAAUUGACGGGGACCGCACAAGCGGUGGAUGAUGAGAUUAAUUCGAUGCAACGCUUAAAACUUUACCUACUCCUUUAUUACAUGUUCCGGAAUCCCGAAGAGAUUUGGGAGGCUCGCAAGAGAACUCGAACACAGGUGCUGUAUGGCUGUCGUCAGCUCGUGUCGAGAGAUGUUGUUAAGUCCCCAACGAGCGCAACCUCCUUGCCAUUAGUUGCUACGAAAGGGCACUUAUCGAUCGUCGGUGACAAACUGAGGAAGGUGGGGAUGACGUCAAGUCUCAAGUGGCCUUGCGGGUAGGGCUUCACACGUCAUACAAUGGUCGGGACAGAGGUCGCCAACCUGCGAGGGGGCGCCAAUCCCAGAAACCCGAUCAGUCCGAUCGCAGUCUGCAACUCGACUGCGUGAAGUCGAACGUUGGUAAUCGCGGAUCAGCAUGUCGCGGUGAAUACGUUCCCGGGUCUUGCAAGGACACCGCCCGUCACACCAUGGGAGUGGGUUUUACCAGAAGUAGUUAGCUCCAACCGUAAGGAGGGCGAUUACCACGGUAGAUUCAUGACUGGGGUGAAGUCGUAACAAGGU
rnacentral:rRNA from 1 species